UGGGGAAUAUUGGACAAUGGGGGGAACCCUGAUCCAGCCAUGCCGCGUGUGUGAAGAAGGCCUUAUGGUUGUAAAGCACCUUAAGCAGUGAAGAAUACAUCAUGGCUAAUAUCCGUGAUGAAUGACAUUAGCUGCAGAAUAAGCACCGGCUAACUCUGUGCCAGCAGCCGCGGUAAUACGUAGGUCCCGAGCGUUGUCCGGAUUUAUUGGGCGUAAAGCGAGCGCAGGCGGUUAGAUAAGUCUGAAGUUAAAGGCUGUGGCUUAACCAUAGUAGGCUUUGGAAACUGUUUAACUUGAGUGCAAGAGGGGAGAGUGGAAUUCCAUGUGUAGCGGUGAAAUGCGUAGAUAUAUGGAGGAACACCGGUGGCGAAAGCGGCUCUCUGGCUUGUAACUGACGCUGAGGCUCGAAAGCGUGGGGAGCAAACAGGAUUAGAUACCCUGGUAGUCCACGCUGUAAACGAUGAGUGCUAGGUGUUAGACCCUUUCCGGGGUUUAGUGCCGUAGCUAACGCAUUAAGCACUCCGCCUGGGGAGUACGACCGCAAGGUUG
rnacentral:rRNA from 1 species